rnacentral:rRNA from 1 species
UACGGAGGGUGCGAGCGUUGUCCGGAAUCACUGGGCGUAAAGGGCGCGUAGGCGGUUUGUACAGUCAGGUGUGAAAUUCCCGGGCUCAACCUGGGGGCUGCACUUGAUACGUAUGGACUGGAGUGGGGAAGAGGGUCGUGGAAUUCCCAGUGUAGAGGUGAAAUUCGUAGAUAUUGGGAAGAACACCGGUGGCGAAGGCGGCGACCUGGUCCUUGACUGACGCUGAGGCGCGAAAGCGUGGGGAGCAAACAGG